UAAGGAAUAUUGGUCAAUGGACGCAAGUCUGAACCAGCCAUGCCGCGUGAAGGAUGAAGGUCCUCUGGAUUGUAAACUUCUUUUAUAGGGGGCGAAAAAGGGAAAUCUUUCUCACUUGACAGUACCCUAUGAAUAAGCACCGGCUAACUCCGUGCCAGCAGCCGCGGUAAUACGGAGGGUGCAAGCGUUAUCCGGAUUCACUGGGUUUAAAGGGUGCGUAGGCGGGCGUAUAAGUCAGUGGUGAAAUCCUGGAGCUUAACUCCAGAACUGCCAUUGAUACUAUAUGUCUUGAAUAUGGUGGAGGUAAGCGGAAUAUGUCAUGUAGCGGUGAAAUGCAUAGAUAUGACAUAGAACACCUAUUGCGAAGGCAGCUUACUACGCCUAUAUUGACGCUGAGGCACGAAAGCGUGGGGAUCAAACAGGAUUAGAUACCCUGGUAGUCCACGCCCUAAACGAUGAUUACUCGACGUGUGCGAUAAACGGUACGCGUCUGAGCGAAAGCAUUAAGUAAUCCACCUGGGGAAGUNCGACCGCAGGUUGAAACUCAAAUGAAUUGACGGGGUCAUAGCUGUUUCCUG
rnacentral:rRNA from 1 species